AUACGUAGGGGGCGAGCGUUGUCCGGAAUGAUUGGGCGUAAAGGGCGCGUAGGCGGCCUGUUAAGUCUGGAGUGAAAGUCCUGUUUUCAAGAUGGGAAUUGCUUUGGAUACUGUUGGGCUUGAGUGCAGGAGAGGUUAUCGGAAUUCCAAGUGUAGCGGUGGAAUGCGCAGAUAUUUGGAAGAACACCGGUGGCGAAGGCGGCCUUCUGGGCCACGACUGACGCUGAGGCGCGAAAGCUGGGGGAGCGAACAGGAUUAGAUACCCUGGUAGUCCUAGCCGUAAACGAUGGACACUAGGUGUGGGGGGAUGUGCCCUCCGUGCCGCAGCUAACGCAUUAAGUGUCCCGCCUGGGGAGUACGGCCGCAAGGUUGAGACUCAAAUGAAUUGGCGGGG
rnacentral:rRNA from 1 species